GGAUGCUGCAGUUAAAGGGUCCGUAGUCGAGCGGCAGUGACAGGGCGUGUGGUCAGAGACGCAGUUGCUGCGGAGAGUAGCGGAGCGGGCAGGGUGCGCGGAAUGCUUGGGCGAGCGAUGAAAUGCCAGGACCCCAGGCGGACGAACGGAGGCGAAGGCGGCGCACUGGGACGCAUCUGAGGAUCAAGGACGAAGGCUGGAGGAUCGAAGGCGAUUAGAGACCGCUGUAGUUCCAGCAGUAAACGAUGCCGACAGCGCGGCGCGAGGCGUGGCGCGGGAGAAAUCGUAGUGUACGGGCUCUGGGGAUAGUACGCUCGCAAGAGUGA
rnacentral:rRNA from 1 species